ACAUUAAAUCUAAAGGUACUUUUUAAAUACCACAAAACUUGCUUCUGCGUCAGUUAAUGAAGUGAGUUAAGUUCCGCGUUUGAAUCGCACCUCGCCUGACUACACCGGUCUAUAUCAUCAGGCUGAGUGCCUUAACGUCCGAUACCUAAGAGAGGUGGGGACCUUUGGCACAGAAUCCUGUCGACUACGUGGAAAAGGUCGGCCAGGAAGUUUGGGUUAAUAGGGGCCGCAAAAUACAGGGGGAAGGAAUCAGACAUCCGAACGAAGGAAAAAGACGGAGGGCGGCAGGUGGACAUUGGGGAGCCAGGAGAGGAGACCAUCCGGGUCUCUUUGUUUUUUGCGAGCUACAG
ensembl:lncRNA